rnacentral:rRNA from 1 species
AUACGGAGGUGGCGAGCGUUGUUCGGAUUUAUUGGGUGUAAAGGGUGUGUAGGUGGCUAGGUAAGUGAGGUGUGAAAUCCUGGAGCUCAACUCCAGAACUGCACUUCAUACUGCUUGGCUAGAGUCUCUGAGAGGCAAGGGGAAUUCCCGGUGUAGGGGUGAAAUCCGUAGAUAUCGGGAGGAACACCAAUAGCGAAGGCACCUUGCUGGUGGAAGACUGACACUGAAACACGAAAGCUAGGGGAGCAAACAGGAUUAGAUACCCCGGUAGUCC